UCCCUGGUGGCUCAGAGGGUAAAGAAUCUGCCUGCCAAGCAGGAGACACAGGUUCUAUCCCUGAGUUGGGAA
rnacentral:tRNA from 1 species